rnacentral:rRNA from 1 species
CCUACGGGAGGCAGCAGUAGGGAAUAUUGCUCAAUGGGGGAAACCCUGAAGCAGCAAAGCCGCGUGGAGGAUGAAGGUUUUCGGAUUGUAAACUCCUUUUGUUAGAGAAGAUAAUGACGGUAUCUAACGAAUAAGCACCGGCUAACUCCGUGACAGCAGCGGCGGUAAUACGGAGGGUGCAAGCGUUACUCGGAAUAAAUGGGCGUAAAGGGGGCGUAGGGGGGAUAGCAAGUCAGGUGGGAAAUCCUAUGGGUUAAACAUAGAAGUGCAUUUGAAACUGUUAUUCUAGAGUAUGCGAGAGGUAGGUGGAAUUCUUGGUGUAGGGGUAAAAUCCGUAGAGAUCAAGAGGAAUACUCAUUGCGAAGGCGACCUGCUAGAACCUAACUGACGCUGAUGCGCGAAAGCGUGGGGAGCAAACAGGAUUAGAUACCCCGGUAGUC